rnacentral:rRNA from 1 species
UACAGAGGUCUCAAGCGUUUGUUCGGAUUCAUUGGGCGUAAAGGGUGUGUAGGUGGCGUCCGUAAGUCGGGUGUGAAAUUUCGGAGCUUAACUCCGAAACUGCAUUCGAUACUGCGGUGCUUGAGGACUGGAGAGGAGACGUGGAAAUUUACGGUGUAGCGGUGAAAUGCGUAGAUAUCGAUGAAGGAAGACCAGUGGCGAAGGCGGGUCUCUGGACAGUUCCAUG